rnacentral:rRNA from 1 species
UACAGAGGAUGCAAGCGUUAUCCGGAAUGAUUGGGCGUAAAGCGUCUGUAGGUGGCUUUUUAAGUCCGCCGUCAAAUCCCAGGGCUCAACCCUGGAAUGCCAGUGGAAACUGUCGAGCUAGAGUCCGGAAGAGGCGAGUGGAAUUCCUGGUGUAGCGGUGAAAUGCGCAGAUAUCAGGAGGAACACCAAUGGCGAAGGCAGCUCGCUGGGACGGUACUGACGCUGAGACGCGAAAGCGUGGGGAGCAAACAGG